AUACGGAGGGGGCAAGCGUUAUUCGGAAUCACUGGGCGUAAAGGACGCGUAGGCGGGUUGGCAAGUCAGAUGUGAAAUCCUACAGCUUAACUGUAGAACUGCAUUUGAAACUGCUAACCUAGAGUAUGGGAGGGGGAGAUGGAAUUAGUGGUGUAGGGGUAAAAUCCGUAGAUAUCACUAGGAAUACCUAAAGCGAAGGCGAUCUCCUGGAACAUUACUGACGCUAAGGCGUGAAAGCGUGGGGAGCAAACGGGAUUAGAAACCCUAGUAGUCC
rnacentral:rRNA from 1 species